GACGAACCGAGCGAACGUUGUUCGGAAUCACUGGGCUUAAAGGGCGCGUAGGCGGGCUGUCAAGUCUAGGGUGAAAUCCCGCGGCUCAACCGUGGAACUGCCUCAGAUACUGACGGCCUCGAGGGAGGUAGGGGCGAGCGGAACUCUCAGUGGAGCGGUGAAAUGCGUUGAUAUUGGGAGGAACUCCGGUGGCGAAGGCGACUUCCUGGCCUGUUCUUGACGCUGAGGCGCGAAAGCUAGGGGAGCAAACGGG
rnacentral:rRNA from 1 species